UACGGAGGGGGCGAGCGUUAUUCGGAAUUAUUGGGCGUAAAGGGCGCGUAGGCGGCCUGGCAAGUCAAAGGUGAAAUCCCUCGGCUCAACUGAGGAACUGCCUUUGAAACUGCCAGGCUUGAGGCCGGGAGGGGGUAGCGGAAUUCCCAGUGUAGCGGUGAAAUGCGUAGAUAUUGGGAGGAACACCCGUAGCGAAGGCGGCACUCUGGGCCGAUACUGACACUGAGGAGCGAAAGCGUGGGGAGCGAACAGG
rnacentral:rRNA from 1 species